GACACUUGUCAACAGCACAUAAUUCUUAUCAACUUAAAGUUGACAGACAUACGAUGGAAGCAGGCCAAGCUCAUCCUCUUCCACCAUCCUAUCUUAGAUGGUCCAUUUUAAAUACUAUUUGCUGUUGUCUGCCUCUCGGGAUUGCUGCUAUCAUCUACUCCAACAAGGUAGAGUCAGCAAAUACCCAUGGAGACAUAGACAGAGCUCGAGAUGCAUCACAAACUGCCAAGAUGCUGAACAUCGCCGCACUCAUCUGUGGGAUAAUCCUUAUCACCAUUUAUCUCUCCAUCAAAUUAACUGAAAAAAAAUAGUGACGGUUCCUGCAUUUCCCAGAAGUUGCACUGGAAUACCAGCAAUUUUUUGAUGUCUGCUUUUGCUUUUCAACAUCCUCCACUAAAUAUGGACUGAUGUCUAUAUGUGUGGUGUUUAACCAGCUCCCCAUAAAAAGAAUGGAAGAAUGCUUUUGUUUUCAUUGUGCAAACUGAGUUGUCAAAUGAGAAACCUGGAUUAAAGUGUUGCUUUGCA